CCUCCCCCCCCGUGAGGGCUCCGGGCAGAAAUGAAUCAGCGCGGCCGCUGCCGUGUGUGCGGCCACCGCGUUUCCUGUGUUCCCAGCUCCUCCUCCUCCCGCAGCGGCGAGAAGCGGAGUGCGGGGCCGCGGCUCUCAGGGAACCGCUCCCCUCCCCCCCCCCCCGAGGGUAUUUUAAAGCCCCCCGUGACGUUCCGGGUUUCCCUGUGGUGGCAUCGCACGAGCAGCCGGCGAGCGAGAGUCCGGCCGCUGCUGCUCCCCGCCAGCCGGAGCCGGGGGCAGCCGCGUGUGUGGUGGGGGGGGGGGGGAGCGGCCGAAAACCCGGCGUGGAGCUCUCGCAGUCGCCUCCGCCGAGCUCCGUUUACGGCUGAAGGAGCAAACACCACACUAUUGCCAAAGAGAAGAACCUCUCAUAGACCCACCUCCCCUCCCAACUACUUAGGUCCAGAUAACCUUUGUGUUCAGAGCAGCAUAAGGGGACCAGAAAACAGCCAGAUCUCCAUACUGUGCUACAGCUAACUUCAGUGUGUAUAAGUUACUACUAACUGGAGCUGGCUGAAAUGUGGGAUUUCCAGUUUAUGAGAAAUUUUGAUAUUUUGAAAUUUCCUGCAAA